CUUCCUAAGAACGCAACAAUGCAGACCCAAAAUCCUCCAAUGUGUAGCUGGGCGAUAGCAAGGGCUUGCCGACGGUGGCGGCGGGCCAGAUCCGGUGGCUAGCUGGGCGACUGCGCCCAGCGGAGGUCCAGAUCCAGCACCCGACCGUCUUGUCGGCUUCCUGGCUGCCUCGACAGACCUCCCCUGUGCGGACAAGUACUCUGCUCUUCGUCACCGCCAGCGCGCCGCCGCACAGCGCAUCGAGAGGAACGAGGGUGUUGUUGCCAAGGAGGAGGUCUCCAUGCACCGCCACUUCGACGACCUCCGCGCCCUCGGCAGAUCGAAGCUCUUCAACUAGUACUAAGUUUGUUCUCCGCUGUUUUGGUGUUGCAUCUUGAACUGAAAUGGAGGGAAGUAGUGAGACAUAGCCUUCAGGAGAGCCCACAGUUCCAGUAAUUGCAAAAUUUAUACCAACACUACCAGUCGUGGAAUCGGUCAAUAGUAGUGCUCAAAAUCAAGAUUUCAGCGAUGCUACCUCGUCUGCAGAGAUUAAUUCUCUAAUGCUUCUUAUUGAAUUUCUUUGCCAUUAUUGUAUGUCCAUCAUUAGGCUAUCUUUGUGGUUUACUGGUCAUAGAUGCAUGAUGCCCUGACAACCGGAAACAUCAAGACCGCAGAUGGAUAUAAGAAGCUUUUAUCAAAGUCUUCCCUUUCUGACGAUUGAGAGAAUUUCUAUGGAAGAUAUAUUUAACUGUGUUUUUUGAUUAUGCAUCUGUACGUGUCUGUGCUCAACUGAAUCGUGUUUGCUUGGUGUGACCUCUCCCAGAACAAGAAGCUUAUGAGCAAGAAGUGGUAGAACUGGAGGGGAAUGCUAGAGCUUUUCUAUUAUGACCAUCAAGAUAGUAGAGCUUAUCGUUUUAAAUAGCAAUGCAUGUUGAGUGGUGAUCAUAUUUACUCUGUCUUGUUGGCCAUGUACUAAAAAUGAUGCUACCAUGUCUCAUCAAGAUAUGUAUGCUUGUGAUAUGCUCAAUCCGGGAUGGUCCAGUCUGAUGUUAGUUAUGCUUCAAACGGUGGCUUUGCAGUGACAAUCAUAUUCAACUUCUUUUUGCA